UACGGAGGUGGCAAGCGUUGCUCGGAAUCACUGGGCGUAAAGGGUGCGUAGGCGGGUCUUUAAGUCAGGGGUGAAAUCCUGGAGCUCAACUCCAGAACUGCCUUUGAUACUGAAGAUCUUGAGUUCGGGAGAGGUGAGUGGGACUGCGAGUGUAGAGGUGAAAUUCGUAGAUAUUCGCAAGAACACCAGUGGCGAAGGCGGCUCACUGGCCCGAUACUGACGCUGAGGCACGAAAGCGUGGGGAGCAAACAGG
rnacentral:rRNA from 1 species